CAUUAGGGUACACCAAUUUGAAGAGAGGAGGCAUCCAAAAAUAGAGCAAAGAAAGUCCUGCAGGUUUGGAAUGGCAUGAGGUUUGCUUUAUCGAGGGGCUGACUCUCGGGAAUAGGCUGGGCUGUGCGCGCACUGAUAGAGGUGCUGUUCUUCAUCAUUGGUUCUACACCUUCCCCACCCCCACGUCCAUAUGAAUUAUUCAUUCUAUGCUAAUGAGCUUCUCUGGAAUUUCAAGGGCCUCUUUAAUAGCUGUUCAAUGUCCAGCGGUAGCAGUGGGGCAGGACUGGGUGACAAAGACAAGCUGACAGUGAUGGUCUUGGCAGAAUCUGUGCCCUGCACGGGGCCCCUAAUACAGUGGCUGUCCUGAAGGCCCUGUAUCUGAUGAGCUGAUCCAUGCUGCUCUGUCACACUGACCUUUGAGUGUGUGAAAGGGGAUCUGAGAAAGGGAAGGGGAUGUAAGCUGUGACACAUGUGCUGUUCCCUGCCACUCCAUGUCAGUAAUACUCUCAGAUCCCUGUGCAGUUUCACCAGUGAGUCUAUUCAGGAACUCUGGAGUUUCACUUUGAAUGACCACUUUAUGUUUUUAUAUCAUUACAUGCAAGACAUCAAGUGGCAUCUGUUUAAAUUGAUCAUAAAUACAUCUUAGGUUUUAAAUGAAACAAACAAACAAACAAACAAACAAAAAUAAAAACAAUAGCUGUCUAGUUCAAAAUUAAGUUAAGAGCUUUUGGAGACUUUGUGGCUGCCAAAUGUUAGUGGAUCAAGUUCUUUAUUUAUGUGAUGAAGUACACCUAUGUAAAUUUGAGAGAAACAGACUUCACACAUCCACUAAAGCUGCCUUGCAUCAAUUGGUUAAAAGCAAUUAAAAUGUAUUUAGCAUCAUUGUUUGCAGAUGACACUCGGUUUGAUACUUUUUGACAUUCAAACAUUGCGACUCCAAAAGUGUCCAAAUACUUACAUUUACAUUACAUUUAGUCAUUUAGCGGAUGCUUUUUAUCCAAAGUGACUUAUAAAUGAGGACAAUAGAAGCAAUCAAAAUCGACAAAAGAGCAAUGAUACGCAAGUGUUAUAACAAGUCUCAGCUAGCUUAACUUAGUACACUCUUUUUAAAUGAUAUAAUAAAUAAAAAGAAAACAGA